rnacentral:lncRNA from 1 species
AGGCCCUUUAAACAAAUUUCAAAAUUUUAUAUAUUGUUGCCUGAUGAGUGGAAAGAAGAGAUCCGCAAUUGGUUUUGCUGCCAAAAAUUUUUUCGCAGCACCGCGAAUCAAUAAUGACGAAGAGGUGGAGUGCCGUGCUCACCUGCUCUGCUGUUUUGGCCAAUUUUGGUUAUGA